GGCUCAGGACGAACGCUGGCGGCGCGCCUAAUACAUGCAAGUCGAACGGAUUGGCUUCGGCCAGUCAGUGGCGGACGGGUGAGUAACACGUGGGUGACCUGCCCUCAAGUGGGGAAUAACGCUGCGAAAGCAGCGCUAAUACCGCAUACCCUCACGGCUUCGUUGCCGUGAGGAAAGCUCCGGCGCUUGAGGAGGGGCCUGCGGCCGAUUAGCUAGUCGGGGGGUAACGGCCCCCCGAGGCAACGAUCGGUAGCUGGUCUGAGAGGAUGAUCAGCCACACUGGGACUGAGACACGGCCCAGACUCCUACGGGAGGCAGCAGUAAGGGAUCUUCCGCAAUGGACGCAAGUCUGACGGAGCGACGCCGCGUGCGCGACGAAGCCCUUCGGGGUGUAAAGCGCUUUUCCCCGGGACGACAAAAAGACGGUACCGGGGGAAGAAGCCUCGGCUAACUACGUGCCAGCAGCCGCGGUAAUACGUAGGAGGCAAGCGUUGUCCGGAAUUACUGGGCGUAAAGCGCGUGUAGGCGGAUGUCUAAGUCUGUGGUGAAAGCGCCUGGCUCAACCGGGCGAGGUCCAUGGAAACUAGGCGUCUAGAGGCCGGUAGAGGGGGGUGGAAUUCCGGGUGUAGUGGUGAAAUGCGUAGAGAUCCGGAGGAACACCUGUGGCGAAGGCGGCCCCCUGGGCCGCGCCUGACGCUGAGACGCGAAAGCGCGGGGAGCGAACGGGAUUAGAUACCCCGGUAGUCCGCGCAGUAAACGAUGUCCACUAGGUGUGGGGGGUAUCGAGCCCCUCCGUGCCGCAGCCAACGCAGUAAGUGGACCGC
rnacentral:rRNA from 1 species